CUCCCCUCCUCAGUUCUGUUGACUCUAGUCCUCCCUCCUCAGUUCUGUUGACUCUAGUCCUCCCCUCCUCAGUUCUGUUGACUCUAGUCCUCCCCUCCUCAGUUCUGUUGACUCUAGUCCUCCCCUCCUCAGUUCUGUUGACUCUAGUCCUCCCACCCUCAUUCCUCCUCGCCUCAGUUCCAAGAUGCCAAAUUAUUCGAAGCUAUUGAAAGAAGUGUUUUAGAUUUAUUGUGAAGAUUGUGGCGUCUCAGUGACACAACUAUCAGGGGCACCAAGCUGUUUGGCAUGUAAACCGAUUUCAUGUUUUCAGAUCUACAAUCCACAAUAGCUGUUGUAGGAGGCUUUAUGUUAUGCUUAGUAUUUCAACUGUUUUUAAUAGCAUGUGUUUUGCCAGUUAAUCAGUCAUCUCUGGGUAACAACUUACUUUCAAAUUACACUGUACAUUUCCACGUUUCAAAUGUGUGUCAUGAGGGACCUGAUGGACCUGUCAUUAUUCACCAAUACAGACAAUAACACCACGUAUAAGAACAGGAAGGCCCCUUUAUUACGGAGAGCACCUGAUGGACCUGUCAUUAUUCACCAAUACAGACAAUAACACCACGUAUGAGAACAGGAAGGCCCCUUUAUUACGGAGAGCACCUGAUGGACCUGUCAUUUUUGACUUAAAGGUUGUGUUUGAUUAUGUCAUGUUAUUAUUCUAAUUUUAUUAUUAGACACAAAGGCAUUUUGUGUUUUCUGUCCUUGACAGUUCUGAUCAGAAGACGAAGGAUUAAAGCCUUACCUCUGUAAAAGUUACACUGUUUAUUCCUCCGACCACGAAGAAGAAGAAGAAGGCAUAACUAUCUUAUUCCUCCGACCACGAAGAAGAAGAAGAAGAAGGCAUAACUAUCUUAUUCCUCCGACCACGAAGAAGAAGAAGGCAUAACUAUCUUAUUCCUCCGACCACGAAGAAGAAGAAGGCAUAACUAUCUUAUUCCUCCGACCACGAAGAAGAAGAAGGCAUAACUAUCUUAUUCCUCCGACCACGAAGAAGAAGAAGAAGGCGUAACUAUCUUAUUCCUCCGACCACGAAGAAGAAGAAGGCAUAACUAUCUUAUUCCUCCGACCACGAAGAAGAAGAAGAAGGCAUAACUAUCUUAUUCCUCCGACCACGAAGAAGAAGAAGAAGAAGGCAUAACUAUCUUAUUCCUCCGACCACGAAGAAGAAGAAGAAGGCAUAACUAUCUUAUUCCUCCGACCACGAAGAAGAAGAAGAAGGCGUAACUAUCUUACAACAGGCUCAUAGUAAAGCAUUUAAUAUCAAGUAUCCAUCCAGUCUACUCCCUCGUGAUAAUUCAUUGUAAAUCAACAACUUUUAAAUCCCUGCUUGAAUUGUAUUUCAGUUGAAGCUCUGAGCCGUAGCAGCAGAUGGAGACCUAGGGUGUAUCCCAAAUAGCAUCCUCUUCCCCAUAUAGUGCACUAGAGAAAUCUAUAUGUAAUCCAGUGUAAAUACCUUAUUGACGAGACAGACCAGGAACACAUGUUUAUUCAUUUAUUCCCUCUUCAGAUCUUUAUUUCUCUAUUUGUGUACUCAGAACAGACCGGGUUCUGUCGCUGUGCUCAGAACAGACCGGGUUCUGUCGCUGUACUCAGAACAGACCGGGUUCUGUCGCUGUGCUCAGAACAGACCGGGUUCUGUCGCUGUACUCAGAACAGACCGGGUUCUGUCGCUGUACUCAGAACAGACCGGGUUCUGUCGCUGUGCUCAGAACAGACCGGGUUCUGUCGCUGUACUCAGAACAGACCGGGUUCUGUCGCUGUACUCAGAACAGACCGGGUUCUGUCGCUGUUUUCAGAACAGACCGGGUUCUGUCGCUGUACUCAGAACAGACCGGGUUCUGUCGCUGUACUCAGAACAGACCGGGUUCUGUCG
ensembl:lncRNA